UAGUUAUUACUAUUAGGGUUUCUCUCCAGCCAUCAACCUUACUUAUUGGCCUCACCCCUCUUUAUCCUCUCUCCUCUAUCGUCACUUCCACACACACACUUCUCUCAUCUCGAUGGUAAACCAAGGUAAUUAGACCAUUGUUUCUCCUUCCACAUACAAUACCAAGGGUGGGUGUCACGGGUCAGAACAGUUGUGUUUGUGGUUGUCAGAUAGCUUUGUGGGUGUAAAUCUGGGUUCGUGGUGUAAAUCUGGGUAAGUGUACGGCGGUGGUGAUGACAAAAAAUGGUUGUAAAUUUGACAUCGAAAUCUGAUAUAAUCGAGGUUGGUGGAGGACCCUUGAAUCAUUCUUUCUCAUCCAAGAACUCCAACCUUGGAAUUAAAUUUGCUCACUUUUAGCCAUUUCAUCUCAAUCUCACUUUCAAUCGUUCUUCAAAGCUGCGUGCUUUGCCUGAAAUUAGAGUUCAAACUGUUUCAGGUGGAGCAUAUAAUAUCUACACAAGGGAGCUUAAGACUCAACGUAUCGGACCACAAAUGUUGGGAUAAAACUUGUUUUAUUACAAUUAUGAUUUGUUUUUGCUCUUUUAAUUCUUAGUCUUAAGAUGUAAACUUGGGACAUUAUAUGAGCAAGUUGAUAUAUUUUGAAGUGAUAAUGAAUAUAUUUUUUCUUAUAGUA